AUUGAACGCUGGCGGCAGGCUUAACACAUGCAAGUCGAACGAGUGGCGGACGGGUGAGUAAUUCUUUGGAAUCUAGCUUAUGGAGGGGGAUAACUACGGGAAACUGUAGCUACUACCGCUUAACCUAGUAUGAGCCCAAGUUGGAUUAGGUAGGUGGUGAGGUAAAGGCGCACCAAGCCGACGAUCUCUAGCUGGUCUGAGAGGAUGACCAGCCACACUGGGACUGAGACACGGCCCAGACUCCUACGGGAGGCAGCAGUGGGGAAUAGUGCGCAAUGGGGGAAAGCUGACGCAGCAAUGCCGCGUGAAUGAAGAAGGCCUUCGGGUUGUAAAGUUCUUUCGGUAGCGAGGCGUUAACUAAAGAAGAAGCACCGGCUAACUCCGUGCCAGCAGCCGCGGUAAUUC
rnacentral:rRNA from 1 species